rnacentral:rRNA from 1 species
UACAGAGGGGGCAAGCGUUGUCCGGAAUCACUGGGCGUAAAGGGCGCGUAGGUGGUUUGAUAAGGGUGUGGUGAAAGUCCGGGGCUCAACCCCGGAUCUGCCGUGCCGACUGUCAAACUCGAGGGCUGUAGAGGCAGACGGAAUUCCGGGUGUAGCGGUGGAAUGCGUAGAGAUCCGGAGGAAGACCGGUGGCGAAGGCGGAUCUCUGGGCCUUACCUGACGCUCAGGCGCGAAAGCUAGGGGAGCGAACAGG